rnacentral:rRNA from 1 species
UGCCAGCCGCCGCGGUAAUACGGAGGGGGUUAGCGUUGUUCGGAAUUACUGGGCGUAAAGGGCAUGUAGGCGGAUCGGCCAGUCAGAGGUGAAAGCCCUGGGCUCAACCCAGGAACUGCCUUUGAUACUGCCGAUCUAGAGUCCGGGAGAGGAUAGUGGAAUUCCCAGUGUAGAGGUGAAAUUCGUAGAUAUUGGGAAGAACACCAGUGGCGAAGGCGGCUAUCUGGACCGGUACUGACGCUAAGGUGCGAAAGCGUGGGGAGCAAACAGGAUUAGAUA